rnacentral:ncRNA from 2 species
UUCAGAAAAAGGCAAACCUGUUGAAAAGCAGGGACGCAAAGCCGAGGAUCUAAGGCAGGUUUAACUUGUUACGAUGGCCGGGCUACCUGG